rnacentral:rRNA from 1 species
GUGGGGAAUUUUGGACAAUGGGCGCAAGCCUGAUCCAGCAAUGCCGCGUGCAGGAAGAAGGCCUUCGGGUUGUAAACUGCUUUUGUACGGAACGAAACGGUCCGGGUUAAUACCCUGGGCUAAUGACGGUACCGUAAGAAUAAGCACCGGCUAACUACGUGCCAGCAGCCGCGGUAAUACGUAGGGUGCAAGCGUUAAUCGGAAUUACUGGGCGUAAAGCGUGCGCAGGCGGUUUUGUAAGACAGGCGUGAAAUCCCCGGGCUCAACCUGGGAAUUGCGCUUGUGACUGCAAGGCUGGAGUGCGGCAGAGGGGGAUGGUAUUCCGCGUGUAGCAGUGAAAUGCGUAGAUAUGCGGAGGAACACCGAUGGCGAAGGCAAUCCCCUGGGCCUGCACUGACGCUCAUGCACGAAAGCGUGGGGAGCAAACAGGAUUAGAAACCCGUGUAGUCC